rnacentral:rRNA from 1 species
AGAGUUUUGAUCCAUGCUCAGGAUGAACGCUAGCGGCAGGCUUAACACAUGCAAGUCGAGGGGUAUAAGUCUUCGGAUUUAGAGACCGGCGCACGGGUGCGUAACGCGUAUGCAAUCUACCUUUUACAGAGGGAUAGCCCAGAGAAAUUUGGAUUAAUACCUCAUAGUAUUAUAGAAUGGCAUCAUUUUAUAAUUAAAGUCACAACGGUAAAAGAUGAGCAUGCGUCCCAUUAGCUAGUUGGUAAGGUAACGGCUUACCAAGGCUACGAUGGGUAGGGGUCCUGAGAGGGAGAUCCCCCACACUGGUACUGAGACACGGACCAGACUCCUACGGGAGGCAGCAGUGAGGAAUAUUGGACAAUGGGCGCAAGCCUGAUCCAGCCAUGCCGCGUGCAGGAUGACGGUCCUAUGGAUUGUAAACUGCUUUUAUACGAGAAGAAACACUCCUUCGUGAAGGAAUUGACGGUAUCGUAAGAAUAGA